AACGAACGACAGGGGAGCGCCGCCACCUCAGGGUGUGUGGGCGCUGAGAGUGCGGAGCAACCGCAGACCCUCGAACCUGAUCCGGUUAGUACCGGCGAUAGGGAGUCGAGCAUCUCAGAAC
rnacentral:ncRNA from 1 species